GACGGAGGGUGCUAGCGUUGUUCGGAAUCACUGGGCGUAAAGGGCGCGUAGGCGGCGUCGCAAGUCGGCUGUGAAAGCCCGGGGCUCAACCCCGGAGGUGCAGCCGAGACUGCGGUGCUCGAGUCCGGAAGAGGAGGGUGGAAUACCCAGUGUAGAGGUGAAAUUCGUAGAUAUUGGGUGGAACACCGGUGGCGAAAGCGGCUCUCUGGUCCGGCACUGACGCUGAGGCGCGAAAGCGUGGGGAGCAAAC
rnacentral:rRNA from 1 species